AAUAUUUUUUCAAACCUCGUAGGUAUAUUUUUAUUUAGCUGAUAUUAUACUCAAGUAACUAUUGGUUUCGUACAGGCAGAGCCAUCUAUCGGCAGGAUUGUAUUGAUAACCCAGUUUGCUGUUAGCUAGAAUGACAAAAGAUGGCGUGUCGAUCGUCGUUAAUUUAUUUCCUUCCAAAAUCCCUUUUGAAUUUUCAUUUAUUGAAAAUAAAACUCAAUUUAUUAUUGUAUUGUUAGUUUUCGUUCCUUUUUGGAAAUAUUUUAUUACCCUCUUUAAGACAGAAGUUAAAGUUGUUGUCUAUAGGCGAAUGCAUCUCGUCACGUAUCUGUGGGCCGAGCUGUCAGCCGACACUUUGCAUAUUGGAAAGGAUGUAGACGGGUGGUUUUCAAAUUCUUCAGGGCCAAUGCGCCACAUUCUAAUUUUUAAAUCGCGAAUUAAUCGCAUAAUCGUAAGUAUUUUCUUCCAUAUUCGAAUGCAGUUUGUUGUGUUACGUUCAGUGCUAAUUCUUGUGUCCAUUAUUUUCAGAUGAUUUUAUUUUUAUAAAAUUACUGAGGACCCCUUCCAUUGACAUGAUUGCACGGAACCACAAGCCGGCUUCUUUUCUGGAAUGGGUCCUCAGAUUUGGAGGUUAACGUUCGAAGACAGAGCAGAGCUGAUGCUUCCCGAGCCUGGACCGGUGGACAGGAGGCUGUGGCGAUCGGUAUGGAAGAGCUCCCAUUCCGUGGCUGCAGCGGCCACCUCUCCUCAAUUCGGUUAGACGUCCCCCAAGGUCAGAGCGUUCCUCGUUUAUUUUUUUAAAAAAGGCGCCCAACAUAAAUUAAUUUUUUAAUUAAUAAUUUACCUUUUACCCGGUCUUCCAGUACCAGAACUACUGACUCACCCCUAUGCUCUAAAUUUUAGGUAUUUGUUUUUUUUUUUAAGUAAAUAGACUGAGCUAGCGAUAUAAUUUAUAAUAAGGGUAGUUUCAUUGCCUACCAGUUAGGCGUUACUAAGUAGUGUAUUAUUACUUUCGAAAUUAUUUUCAAAAAGUAAGUUAAUUAAAAAGUUAUUUUCUAUAUAAA